rnacentral:rRNA from 11 species
UUAAAAGGGCAUCUGGUGGAUGCCUCGGCGCUGAGAGGCGAUGAAGGACGUGGCACUCUGCGAUAAGCUAUGGGGAGGUGAGAGCAACCUUUGAUCCGUAGAUUUCCGAAUGGGGAAACCCACACCGUAAGGUGUAUCCCGAAAGGGAGGCGAACCCGGGGAACUGAAACAUCUAAGUACCCGGAGGAAAGGACAUCAACCGAGACUCCGUUAGUAGUGGCGAGCGAACGCGGACCAGGCCUGUGAUAUUUCUGUAAGAACUGGAAGCUUCUGGAAAGUUGCGCCGCAGCGGGUGAUAGCCCCGUACAGGUAGAAAUCAGAUUUAUCCUCGAGUAGGGCGGGACACGUGAAAUCCUGUCUGAACGUGGGGGGACCACCCUCCAAGCCUAAGUACUCCUCAGCGACCGAUAGUGAACCAGUACCGUGAGGGAAAGGCGAAAAGAACCCCUGUGAGGGGAGUGAAAUAGAACCUGAAACCGUAUACGUACAAGCAGUGGGAGCCCUUCGGGGUGACUGCGUACCUUUUGUAUAAUGGGUCAGCGACUUAUAUUUAGUAGCAAGGUUAAGUGAAUAACGGAGCCGUAGCGAAAGCGAGUGUUAACUGCGCGUUUAGUUGCUAGGUAUAGACCCGAAACCCGGUGAUCUAGCCAUGGGCAGGUUGAAGGUUGAGUAACAUCAACUGGAGGACCGAACCCACUAACGUUGAAAAGUUAGGGGAUGACCUGUGGCUGGGGGUGAAAGGCCAAUCAAACCGGGAGAUAGCUGGUUCUCCCCGAAAUCUAUUUAGGUAGAGCCUCGGACGAAUUCCAUUGGGGGUAGAGCACUGUUAAGGCUAGGGGGUCAUCCCGACUUACCAACCCUUUGCAAACUCCGAAUACCAAUGAGAACUAUCCGGGAGACACACGGCGGGUGCUAACGUCCGUCGUGGAGAGGGAAACAACCCAGACCGCCAGCUAAGGUCCCAAAAUAUUGCUAAGUGGGAAACGAUGUGGGAAGGCUUAGACAGCUAGGAGGUUGGCUUAGAAGCAGCCACCCUUUAAAGAUAGCGUAACAGCUCACUGGUCUAAUUUAAGUUGUCCUGCGGCGAAGAUGUAACGGGGCUCAAGCCAUGAGCCGAAGCUGAGGAUGCACGUAAGUGCGUGGUAGCGGAGCGUAGUG